AGAGUUUGAUCAUGGCUCAGGAUGAACGCUAGCUACAGGCUUAACACAUGCAAGUCGAGGGGCAGCAUGGUCUUAGCUUGCUAAGGCUGAUGGCGACCGGCGCACGGGUGAGUAACACGUAUCCAACCUGGCCGUCUACUCUUGGCCAGCCUUCUGAAAGGAAGAUUAAUCCAGGAUGGGGAUCAUGAGUUCACAUGUCCGCAUGAUUAAAGGUAUUUUCCGGUAGACGAUGGGGAUGUGUUCCAUUAGAUAGUAGGCGGGGUAACGGCCCACCUAGUCAACGAUGGAUAGGGGUUCUGAGAGGAAGGUCCCCCACAUUGGAACUGAGACACGGUCCAAACUCCUACGGGAGGCAGCA
rnacentral:rRNA from 1 species